GUGCUUGCUUUUGCAGCACAUAUACUAAAAUUGGAAAAAUCAAGAGAUUUUUAUUUUGUAGCCCUGCACAAGGAUGACAUGCAAAUUUGUGAAGCAAUUCUUUUUACU
rnacentral:snRNA from 1 species